rnacentral:rRNA from 1 species
GAAUUCCGUGAGUCAUCGAAUCUUUGAACGCACAUUGCCGGUCGAGUCUUCGGAUGAGACCACAUCUGCCUCAGCGUCGGAAUA